rnacentral:rRNA from 1 species
CCCUUAGAUGCUCUGGGCCGCACGCGCGCUACACUGGUCGAUGCAACGAGUUUCUUUCCUUGGCCGACAGGCCUGGGCAAUCUUUGAACAUCGAUCGUGAUCGGGAUAGAUUCUUGUAAUUUUUGAUCUUAAACGAGGAAUUCCUAGUAAACGCAAGUCAUCAGCUUGCAUUGAUUACGUCCCUGCCCUUUGUACACACCGCCCGUCGCACCUACCGAUUGAAUGGUCCGGUGAAGCCUCCGGAUUGGCGCGCACCUCGGUGCCGCCGAGAAGUUGGCUAAACCUUACCAUUUAGAGGAAGGUGAANUCGUAACA